AGCAAUGCUAGUCUAGGUUUUCUCUAAAUAGCAAAUGUUUUUUCCUUAUUUCUAAAGGCAAACCUUUUCACAGGUGUCUACAGGAUUUCCAAAGAAAAACUUCAUCCUGACAUGAACCACAUUCAACUUCUGUUCCUCCCAAGGAAGACACCAGGCAUCCCACAGACUGCACACCACAAAAUGUGUUGUAAAUGAAUUACUACUACUCUUCUAAGCUACCUUCAUUACCCCGAGGAAAUGCACAGAAACACAUUGGAGCUAAGAUGAUUUGCAGCAUCUGUGGUUAAGAUUUAAUAUAAUGUACUCCAUGUUUUCAAGAAUAAAAUGAGGAGUGGGGUGGGGAUUCAGUUAAAACACAUGUAAGCAUUAGAUUAAUUACUUAGAAACUGUUCAGCUAAGCAGUGUACUUAUUCAAUGCAGGGAUAAUAGGAAGAUAUUUUUGUUCUUCUUUGUGCACAUUUCAAAUUAACUUAACGUAGAUUAAAAAGUAGGAAACCAAUGCACAAAAGUUCACAAACAAGAUGUGAGAACCUCUCCUAGUGAUAAUUUAUAGACAAACUAAAUAAUCAUCUUCAAUUAACAGUCACCAAAACUAUCAACCACAAGUAAGCAUCCUCUUCCAGGAUAACCAGCAUGUGUGACUAAAUAAGCAUGUGCUAAAAUAAGCCUGAUGGGCCUUCAAGGGCUUGUAUAUUACAUUAACAGUAAAAUACCAAAGUGGAAUAAAAAGACCAUGACAGAGAUAAGGCACUGACCAAAUUUUGUAAUGUUUUAUGCUUGCUUUAAGUCACAAGAUGUAUCAAUGAGCUGUACGCUCUUUUAAAUCUCAUCUGAAACUUAAUCAUUCCAUUCUGUGAUCAUUACUAUUAUCAUUAACUCUGUAAAAGUGCAUAACUGGAAGCACAAAAGAUGAGAAGUACAACGCUGGGAACUGAGUUUGGGUCUCAACAACUGUGUCAUUCAUGUUUGCAUAAUUUAUUUCUGUGUUUAUCAUUUAUUGGGUGGGUUAUGGGUAAAAAACCAAAGUUCACUAGCUAAGUUCCAUCUGCUUUGGAGAAAAGCACGUGGUCCAAGUUAUGUUGUGUUUGGAUCAGUAGCAUAAACAGGGCCAGUUUUGUGAGGGGACAGAUCACCUGUUGAAGCGCAGCAUUGGUAUUUAUGAGUAGUGGACAACUUGUUAUCAGAUUAUGUUCCAGAAACUCUGAUCAUGUCAGUCAAUUGACAUUGCUGGAUUGGAGAAAGCUUUAAACUGUUGCUGUCAUGAGGUUUAAUGAACCCUCCUUUGAUUCUGUUAAUUAGAUCAGAUGAUGAACUGCCAGGGAGUGACAGCUGCGAUAAAUCCAUAUUAAAAAGGUGUUAGGAGUCACCAGUCCUGGACAAACAUCUGUUUGUCACAGAGUGGAAGGCAGACUUUCCUAAUUAUUUGGCUGCUUUGGCACUCUCGUUCUCCAAUAGCAUAGUCCAUGGCAUGAGGAUGUCUGUGGCACAGGUAGAUGAACUGGCCACAAAGACUUGCUGACAGCUCUGCUUAAUAAACAAGGUGUGAGGGGUUAGAAGAAUCUCCAGCAAAAUCCAAUGCGAUCUCAUCUUGAUAGCAACAUGUAUUUCACAGAAACUGAAAAGACUAUUUUAUAGUAGGCUGUUAUGGAAUAAUCAGCACCUGUGGGAUUAGUGUCCUAAUCUGUCAGUCUGUAGAUGCUUUUUUGCCUUGCAGCCUGAAGGCUUUACUGGGUGAUUCUGAAUCUAAUGUAAUGUUUCAUUACGUGUACAAAUAUGUAGCUCUUUUCUUGAACAAUCCUGGCAUGAACUGUAUGAUGUCUUGUGUCCUGAAUUGCACAGACUAUGCAGAAACAUUUAUCUUUUCAAAACUGUUCACUCCUAUGUGCAAUUUCAGAAUAAAAAUGAGAUAGUGAACAAGCUGUAUUUUGCCAUGUGACAUGCCACUUUCCCCAUCUCCAUUUCUACUCUUUUUUUCCCAUCUUCUCUCUGAAAUAACCAAUUAUUUUGUUAAUGUUUUGUCAUACAGAAGUUUUUCAAGGACUCUUGUCACUUGCAUGUUGCUUUACUAGCCUGGCUAAAGAGAUUGUGGUGCUGUAACAGAUAGGGUUUGCUUUAACAACUAUUUUCUUUUCAUUAUUAGUUCUUACCAUAUUUGUUUCAUCUGGGAGAUAAAGAAUUGUCAUACUGAAUCAGACCAGAUCAAAGCUAAAUACUGCCUUGUAUUCCAGCCUCAAUUCUAUGUAAAAUGUACAAUGAGCUUCCUCAUGUCUUUGAUGGACUUCAAAGUUAUUAUACGUAAUAGGUAUUGAUGAAGCCAUUGUACUCCAUUAAUGAAACUCUGUUCAUUAAUGGCCCUACAGUAACUGGUGUUGAAUUCUGUGAUUUACUUGGUUUUCUGGGAGGGGAGGGGGAAUACUUUAGUGCUCUUCAGAAAUGGAACAGGAA